AAGCACUGGUGCUAUCAUUCUGCAAGUGCCUAUUCAGUCAUCCACUGUUUUGACAAGGGGAAUGUCAGUUUUAGUUCAAGAGAGGAACUCUGAAUUCACAGAGGGGAAACUGCCAGAGAGUUUACAAAGGACGGCUUCUGGGCCAAGCUGAAUUGCUAGUUUGCUUUUUAUGGUUCCCAAUUUGGUUUUUGGAUAUGUUUGUUUCCACAGCUGGUUUGUUAUAACUGAGAAUCAUAAAUCACCUGAGCUGAAGUGUCCUGAUGUGAGGGAGAAGUUAGAAAAGAGGUUUAUUUUAAGAGACGAGAUAAAAGCAAAGAAUUAAAGAAGAGAAGAGAGUCCUGGAAUUAGUAUCAAGGAAAACUUUCCUUGUUGGUUUAUUCACUUCAUUCCAGACUCCACUUCACCUCUGUUUAUCAAUAGACUAUUGCAGCAGAGGUGACUUAUUUUAUGUCGGUUGCAUCGUGUUAGGUUUGAAAUUCCUACACGAAAACAACAUUAUUUAUCGAGACCUAAAGCCACAAAACAUACAGACAGCCAGCGAUGGAUAUGCCAAGUGAGAUGCAUAUUUCUAUGAAGGGGACAAGUAACUUCAAUUCAAUUGAGCUGCAUUUAAAGGGAAAGUGGAAAAAAAAACAGCUUGAGAUAUUCCACAUUUUCUCCUCUUUCAAUGCUAUGAGGCUAUCACCAUAUUGUAUAGACCAUUCAUCAAAGUUAGAGAAUGAUGCCAUCUAUAAAAUUCUAUUUCCCCAAACCCCAUAUGGUGUCAGACCAAUGCCAUUUACUAGAACAAAAUGUUGAAGCCUUCAAAUAAUUUGCCUACCACAGAUGUCAAAUUUACUGGCCUAUAAUUGCCUGACUGAGAUCAUAAUCCAGAUGGCAUGGGUAUGUUGAUUGGGGGGAGGGUUUUAAAAAUGCUCUUCUGGUUAUAGUCUAAAGUGAUACUGACACAUCUGUGAAAGCAACAUAUUGUGUCUUUGGAUUAAUAUUGAUGGUGGAUAGAUUUAUGUUUUUCAAGGUCCACCAGCUACUGGAAUGUGUAAGUUUUAUUUCCUCAUAUUUUAUAAGUAUGACUUUUCUGAAAUCGAAUUUAAAUAAAUGACCUCCUGAGUCAACUCCA